rnacentral:rRNA from 1 species
AGUACGGCGGAACACGAGAAAUUCCGUCGGAAUCCGCGGGGACCAUCCCGCAAGGCUAAAUACUCCCUAGUGACCGAUAGUGAACCAGUACCGUGAGGGAAAGGUGAAAAGCACCCCGGAAGGGGAGUGAAAUAGAUCCUGAAACCGUGUGCCUACAACAAGUCAAAGCUCGUUAAUGAGUGAUGGCGUGCCUUUUGUAGAAUGAACCGGCGAGUUACGAUUGCAUGCGAGGUUAAGUCGAAGAGACGGAGCCGCAGCGAAAGCGAGUCUGAAUAGGGCGAAUGAGUAUGUAGUCGUAGACCCGAAACCAUGUGAUCUACCCAUGUCCAGGUUGAAGGUGCGGUAAAACGCACUGGAGGACCGAACCCACGUACGUUGAAAAGUGCGGGGAUG